UGGAAACUUGGCUGACCUUAUGAACCUGAAACAAGCACAACAAGUCCAAUAACAAAAAAUAUUAAUGAAAAAUUCAUCUAAAAUAUUUGUCGUUCUCUCUAUAAUCCUUUUCUAUGUCAUAAGUUCUUGUCAUGGAUACAAUCCUUUUGCUAAAACCGUUGUCACAGUCACCAACAAUAUCAGCCCGCAAACAACCUUGACAAUAAGUUGUAGAUCUAAAGACGAUGAUCUAGGUGAGCAUCUGUUGCUGCAUGGGCAAGCGUUUCUAUGGAAGUUUAGACCAAGCUGGUUUAGAACAACGUUGUUCACCUGCAAGUUUCUUUGGAAUAACAAUGUCAAAUGGUUUGAUACAUAUAGAUCUGACAGAGAUCAAGGUCAUUGUUAUAGUUGUAAUUGGUCUAUCAAUGCUGACAGUGCUUGUAUUUCAGGAAACUUCAACAAAAAAUUUGAUAGGUGUUAUCCAUGGAAUUAAAAACAAUUCAAUUUGUAAUAAUGUCUAGUAUUUUG